rnacentral:rRNA from 1 species
UAGGGAAUCUUCGGCAAUGGACGAAAGUCUGACCGAGCAACGCCGCGUGAGUGAAGAAGGUUUUCGGAUCGUAAAACUCUGUUGUUAGAGAAGAACGUUGCAUAGAGUGGAAAAUUAUGCAAGUGACGGUAUCUAACCAGAAAGGGACGGCUAACUACGUGCCAGCAGCCGCGGUAAUACGUAGGUCCCGAGCGUUGUCCGGAUUUAUUGGGCGUAAAGCGAGCGCAGGUGGUUUAAUAAGUCUGAUGUAAAAGGCAGUGGCUCAACCAUUGUGUGCAUUGGAAACUGUUAGACUUGAGUGCAGUAGAGGAGAGUGGAAUUCCAUGUGUAGCGGUGAAAUGCGUAGAUAUAUGGAGGAACACCGGUGGCGAAAGCGGCUCUCUGGACUGUCACUGACACUGAGGCUCGAAAGCGUGGGUAGCAAACAGGAUUAGAUACCCUGGUAGUCCACGC